rfam:Trichomonas vaginalis G3, whole genome shotgun sequence.
GGUACUAUGGCCGAGUGGUCUAAGGCGGUGGAUUCAAGUCCCACUACGCGAGUGCAUGGGUUCGAACCCCAUUGGUACCA